UUAGGGCUGAGGUUCACAGCAGAUUUACACCCGGAUUUGUCCAAAAUUUUCUAGAUUCAUUUUAAAACAUUAAAACCACAGCGUGGGUGGAUGAAAAGCAUGGAGCAGUUUCUUAUUCUUGCACUAUUGGCAGCAGGAACUCAUGGUAAGAUCAUCCUCACAAAGAUGCCAAACAUUUACAUUUGUAGUGUGAAUUUUUUCCACUCAUGUUCUUUUGAAUCAAUCUUUUCCAGCUCUGGUUCCAGUUGAUGAGACUACAUGUGACCUCAGGAUGAGCACAUGUCCAUGUUCUCCUUUUCUUGAAGGAACUGUGUAUAUCCAAGUGAUGACUGAUGCUAGUGGCCAUGAACUGCAGUGUUUGAAGGUGCUUCCCAAGGUGAACAUAACUGUGUUCAAUCUGAAGAAAGAAAAAAUAACAAUAGACAAUGAAUUUAACAACAGAAUGAAGUUUAAAAUCAAGAACGGGACACUCAAGAUCACAAAUGUAAGGAGGAAUGAUUCAGGUCAAUACAGCAUUGAGGUCUAUAAUUCAGAUGGAGUCGCACAGAAAAACAUUUAUUUCACCCUGAAUGUUAAAGACAACGGCAAAGUUGAAGGCAAGGGACUCUGGAAUUUCGAAGACAAGUGUCUUUACCUGGUCAUAGCCUGUGGUGUACUGGCACUUCUCCUGAUAGCAGUGUCAUGCUGCUUUGCGUGUAGGGAAAUGAAGCAUCGUAAGAAGCCAGGUAACAUGCUGUCUCAUGAUCAACAAAGCUCAAUAAGCAACUGCAUCAUUCACUGA
rnacentral:lncRNA from 1 species